GGGAGAGAAGAGAAAAUGAACCUUGAACUUUCUUCCAGAAUUAUGAGGGGGAUGGUGUUUGCUAAAGAGUAUGCAAUCUGAAAUUAUUUUAAUGUAAUCCUUGUGUGAUGUCUGAUUAAAAUAUGACCAUGUAGAUCUAGUUAUGAUUAUGCUAUUUGUAUGCAUAUACCAUUUUGGUAUUUGAAGUUAUGACUGUUGGCUCUAUACCUGUAUUUCAAAAUGUUUGCUCCUAGGUAGUCCACAAGGUAGCUAGCCAGCACAUCUUGGAGGGAUUAUUCAAACUUGAGUGGCCCAUCAAAAGAACAUUGAACUCACAAUGGAAGAUGCCAACCUACCCUGAAUAGACUUUCCUGUGAACAUGCUGUUUGAGGGAAACCGGUGCCCUUUGUCACAAUGUUGGCUUAAGAGAGAGCAUUCUAGGAGCUGAUCUGCCAGUUCAUCUAUUGACUUCAAUGGGAGCAGGAGUGGGCCUCCAAGUUGCAGAAUUUGAUGCAGAAUGAUCAACCGCUCAAGCAUAUGUCAAGAUUUUGAGCAUCCUUAUAUGUGGCCCUUAAAGGUCUGUAGGUAUUUCUGUAUUAAAAUCACUCUUGGAAAUUGCUUAUUACUCAACUGCUAA